GGGUCUAUAGCUCAGUUGGAUAGAGCAACAGCCUUCUAAGCUGUGGGUCGGAGGUUCGAGUCCUCCUAGACUCGCCA
rnacentral:tRNA from 1 species